UACGUAGGUGGCAAGCGUUGUCCGGAUUUACUGGGCGUAAAGAGCGCGCAGGCGGUCGUUCAAGUCGAGUGUGAAAGCCCCCGGCUCAACUGGGGAGGGUCACUCGAUACUGAUCGACUCGAAGGCAGAAGAGGGAAGCGGAAUUCCCGGUGUAGUGGUGAAAUGCGUAGAUAUCGGGAGGAACACCAGUGGCGAAGGCAGAUCUCUGGGCCGUAACUGACGCUGAGGAGCGAAAGCGUGGGGAGCGAACAGG
rnacentral:rRNA from 1 species